UACGUAGGGGGCAAGCGUUGUCCGGAUUUAUUUGGCGUAAAGAGCGUGUAGGCGGCCAUGUAGGUCCGUUGUGAAAACUCGAGGCUCAACCUCGAGACGCCGAUGGAAACCAUGUGGCUAGAGUCCGGAAGAGGAGAGUGGAAUUCCUGGUGUAGCGGUGAAAUGCGCAGAUAUCAGGAAGAACACCCGUGGCUAAGGCGGCUCUCUGGAACGGUACUGACGCUGAGACGCGAAAGCGUGGGGAGCGAACAGG
rnacentral:rRNA from 1 species